CACAAAUGUAGCUUUAAUCUAGCAUAGUGUGGUGAUGUUAGUAAAACCGUAAGUUAAAUUAUGAUGGCAGCUGAUGUGUCAACAGCUAACGUCUGCUAACCCAGUGGAACGGGGAGCUGAGAGGGUGCUAAAAGCGCGCCUCAGAUGUUUCAUUUAAAGGUAGAGCUUUCAUGUUAGUGACAACAAAACUGUGUAAAAAGUAACAUCCUCAAGCUGUGUCGAACUUUGAGCAGUAGAAAACAAAGUGUUUCAGGCUAAAGACAGACCUAAGGAGGGUUUUUACUAGUAUUAGAUAAAUAAGGAGGCUUUUGAGCAGAUAACACAAAGCUGCUCUGCAGGUGACCCAGACUGACAGAAUAAAAGGUGAAAAA